UAUUCUGUGGCUUAGUUGGUUAAAGCGCCGGUCUAGCGAAUACGGAGUCGUGGGUUCGAAUCCCACCAGAUUAC
rnacentral:tRNA from 1 species